GUCACUUUGCCGGAGUGGUUAACGGGAUCGCCUGCUAUUUCUGAGCAGUUCAAGCGGUUGGGCUUUGCCCGCGAGUGUUCGAAUCGCUCAGGUGACG
rnacentral:tRNA from 1 species